rnacentral:rRNA from 1 species
CCUACGGGAGGCUGCAGUGGGGAAUAUUGCACAAUGGACGAAAGUCUGAUGCAGCAACGCCGCGUGGAGGAUGACACAUUUCGGUGCGUAAACUCCUUUUAUAUGAGAAGAUAAUGACGGUAUCAUAUGAAUAAGCACCGGCUAACUCCGUGCCAGCAGCCGCGGUAAUACGGAGGGUGCAAGCGUUACUCGGAAUCACUGGGCGUAAAGAGCGUGUAGGCGGGUUGAUAAGUUUGAAGUGAAAUCCUAUAGCUUAACUAUAGAACUGCUUUGAAAACUGUUAACCUAGAAUAUGGGAGAGGUAGAUGGAAUUUCUGGUGUAGGGGUAAAAUCCGUAGAGAUCAGAAGGAAUACCGAUUGCGAAGGCGAUCUACUGGAACAUUAUUGACGCUGAGACGCGAAAGCGUGGGUAGCAAACAGGAUUAGAUACCCUAGUAGUC